GAUGAAGAACGUAGCGAAAUGCGAUAAGUAAUGUGAAUUGCAGAAUUCAGUGAAUCAUCGUAUCUUUGAACGCACAUUGCGCCCGCCAGUAUUCUGGCGGGCAUGCCUGUUCGAGCGUCAUUACAACCCUCAGGCCCCCGGGCCUGGCGUUGGGGAUCGGCGGAAGCCCCCUGUGGGCACACGCCGUCCCUCAAAUACAGUGGCGGUCCCGCCGCAGCUUCCAUUGCGUAGUAGCUAACACCUCGCAACUGGAGAGCGGCGCGGCCAUGCCGUAAAACACCCAACUUCUGAAUGUUGACCUCGAAUCAGGUAGGAAUACCCGCUGAACUUAAGCAUAUCAAUAAGCGGAGGA
rnacentral:misc_RNA from 1 species